rnacentral:lncRNA from 1 species
UCCGUUGCAGUGGGGCUGGACGCUGCCGGUAAGACCACCAUCCUCUACAAGCUGAAACUGGGCGAGAUCGUCACCACCAUCCCCACCAUCGGUGAGCGCCCGGCACCGGCACCGGCACCCCGUGUCCCCAGGCACCGUCACCCCAUGUCCCCAGGGUGGCAAGGAGCAGGACAUGCCACCGGCCACCCCUGUGCUCCACCACUGCCCUCCCAGUAUCCCCCACAGGCUGUGCGGGUGGGAUCUUGGCUCUCACCCCAAUAUACCACCAGUGGCCACCAGUACGGGGAUCCCAGUAGCCCGUCCCUGCCUGUCCGGGCUGGUGGAGAGCAUCGGGACCCGUCUGAGCCAUUGGGGCCGGGAGGCUGGGGCUGGUGCCGUGGGGUGCCCCGAUGGGGUGUCCUAUGGUGGUGGCCGGGGUGAUGGGGCAGGGAGCACCCCUGGUGAUCCCUCACCCGAGGGUCACGCUGCGCUUUUGGGGGAGCUGGGCAGGGAGAAUAGGGCAGGGGAACCCCCAGAAGCUCAACGAGGACACUGCCUCUGGGGAGAAGCGACCCCAAGCACCAGAUCCUGCUGGAGAGCAGCUCCAGGGAGACCCUGGGGGCGUGGGGGGCAAGGGGGAGGCACACAGGGGCUGGGACAUCUCCCACGGGAGGAGAGCUGGGAUGGCUCAGGGGCAUCCCAUCAGUGUAUAGGAAUCCCUUUUUUGGGGGGGAGCCCAGUGCCAGGACCAGGAGCACUGGGCACAAACUGGGGCCAGGGGGCUCCCACUGACCCCUCCUGCGCUGGGCGGGGGCCGGAGCCCUGCUGCAGCGAGGUUGUGGGGUCUCCCCUAUGGGGUCUCCUCCGUGGGGGUCUUCAAAACCCACCUGGACGUGGUGCUGGGCUGACAGCUCGGGCUGCAGCGGGGGCGGCACCGGGUGGGUUCUUGGGGUGCCCCCAGCCCCCGCUGGCCGUGGUUUGGGGGGGUGAGCACCCGUUGCGCCGCGCUGUGCCACACGGGUUCUCCAGGGGAUGCUUUUGGGAAAUGGCUGGGGCAAUCCCGUGUUGCUGCUGCUGGGCAGCCAGCAGGGCCCAUGUGAGCGUGCUGGGGGGUGUUUUAGGGAUCGGGGGUGUUUUAGGGAUCGGGGGUGCUCAGCUGAGGGCAGAGCCUUCGAGGGUGCCUCUCGGAGCCAGCCCGCGGCACCAGCGCCGGCUGCGGGUGGAGGCGCUCCCUGGGGGGGCGCGUGGCCGUGCCCCCUUGCUCUCCUCCCCACCGUGCCCCCAACCCAAACCUCUGCAGGGUUCAACGUGGAGACGGUGGAGUACAAGAACAUCUGCUUCACGGUUUGGGACGUGGGUGGGCAGGACAAGAUCCGGCCCCUGUGGCGGCACUACUUCCAGAACACGCAGGGCCUCAUCUUCGUGGUGGA